rnacentral:rRNA from 1 species
GGUUCUCCCCGAAAGCUAUUUAGGUAGCGCCUCGUGAAUUCAUCUCCGGGGGUAGAGCACUGUUUCGGCAAGGGGGUCAUCCCGACUUACCAACCCGAUGCAAACUGCGAAUACCGGAGAAUGUUAUCACGGGAGACACACGGCGGGUGCUAACGUCCGUCGUGAAGAGGGAAACAACCCAGACCGCCAGCUAAGGUCCCAAAGUCAUGGUUAAGUGGGAAACGAUGUGGGAAGGCCCAGACAGCCAGGAUGUUGGCUUAGAAGCAGCCAUCAUUUAAAGAAAGCGUAAUAGCUCACUGGUCGAGUCGGCCUGCGCGGAAGAUGUAACGGGGCUAAACCAUGCACCGAAGCUGCGGCAGCGACACUAUGUGUUGUUGGGUAGGGGAGCGUUCUGUAAGCCUGUGAAGGUGGCCUGUGAGGGUUGCUGGAGGUAUCAGAAGUGCGAAUGCUGACAUAAGUAACGAUAAAGCGGGUGAAAAGCCCGCUCGCCGGAAGACCAAGGGUUCCUGUCCAACGUUAAUCGGGGCAGGGUGAGUCGACCCCUAAGGCGAGGCCGAAAGGCGUAGUCGAUGGGAAACAGGUUAAUAUUCCUGUACUUGGUGUUACUGCGAAGGGGGGACGGAGAAGGCUAUGUUGGCCGGGCGACGGUUGUCCCGGUUUAAGCGUGUAGGCUGGUUUUCCAGGCAAAUCCGGAAAACCAAGGCUGAGGCGUGAUGA